rnacentral:rRNA from 1 species
CAAGGAAUUGACGGGGAGCACCACAACGGGUGGAGCUUGCGGUUUAAUUGGAUUCAACGCCGGAAAUCUUACCGGGACCGACAGCAAUAUGAAGGCCAGGCUGAAGACUUUGCCGGAUUAGCUGAGAGGUGGUGCAUGGCCGUCGUCAGUUCGUACUGUGAAGCAUCCUGUUAAGUCAGGCAACGAGCGAGACCCACGCCCACAGUUGCCAGCGUACUCUCUGGAGUGACGGGUACACUGUGGGACCGCCGCUGCUAAAGCGGAGGAAGGAAUGGGCAACGGUAGGUCAGUAUGCCCCGAAUAUCCCGGGCUACACGCGAGCUACAAUGGUUGGUACAAUGGGUAUCUACCCCGAAAGGGGACGGGAAUCUCCUAAAACCAAUCUUAGUUCGGAUUGAGGGCUGCAACUCGCCCUCAUGAAGCUGGAAUCCGUAGUAAUCGCGUUUCAACAGAACGCGGUGAAUACGUCCCUGCUCCUU